GCAAACUUGGUCAUUUAGAGGAAGUAAAAGUCGUAACAAGGUUUCCGUAGGUGAACCUGCGGAAGGAUCAUUACAGAGUCCCUUUAAAGAAGGGGGGAAGGAGGUUGUAGCUGGCUCCUAUCGGAGCAAUGUGCACGCCACCGACCUCACUUUGUUUUCAUUUUACACCUGUGAACUGCUCGGUAGGGGUGUGUGCCCUUACGGUUACCCAUUGACACCUGUCUUUUGAAUGAGGGUUGCGUCGUCGCUCACCUAAGAUGUUGGGCGACGUCCUAAAAAUACAACUUUCAACAACGGAUCUCUUGGCUCUCGCAUCGAUGAAGAACGCAGC
rnacentral:misc_RNA from 1 species